rnacentral:lncRNA from 1 species
UAACUGAAUGGCGGUCCAGGAUUCGUACAGCCGACUCCAAGUAGUUGGUAAAAGGUUCUAAUUAUGAUGAAUUGCAAGGACUAAUAAAUAAAUAUUUAUCAUUCAAUCAGGCCAUGAUGAUUCCAUUUGUGUUUUUUAUCAGCAUGAUGAUGGAAAGGGAAAUUAUGAAGGCAUUUGACGAGUCAAAUGCUAGGGCAAGGGUCACCUUUAUUCCAAGAACAAGGGUGCAAACAAUUUAAAUAAUGAGGACGGGGCCUUAGUGUAGAUUGAAUUAGGGGAUGCUGCCUGUGUUUGGCCAACUUCUCUUUUUGAUGAAUAGCUCCCUGAAAGGUUCUUAAUGCAGUUUGAGAGGCUACCAAGAGAACUCUCUCCCAUUUCCCUAGUGUACGAGGCAUUAAUCAUAUGAUCAGAUUUGCUGCAGAAAGGGGAGUGAGGUUGAUUUAGGGUCUGAGGUAAAAUACAAACUAGCUCCUCAAAUCGCAGAAUCCCUAG